GGGGGGGGGGGGGGGGGGGGGGGGGGGGGGCGGGGGGGGGGGGGGGGGGCGGGUGGGGGGGGGGGCGCGGGGGGCGAACGGGGGGGGAACACGUGGGUAACCUGCCCGUGCCUUUGGGGUAACUUCAGGGAACUGGGGCUAAUACCGGAUCGGAGCUCCUGCUGCAUGGUGGGGGUUGGACAGUUUCGGCGGUUGGGGAUGGACUCGCGGCUUAUCAGCGUGUUGGUGGGGUAGUGGCUUACCACGGCGUUGCCGGGUAGCCGGCCUGAGAGGGUGGCCGGCCACAUUGGGACUGAGAUACGGCCCAGACUCCUACGGGAGGCAGCAGUGGGGAAUAUUGCACAAUGGGCGGAAGCCUGAUGCAGCAACGCCGCGUGCGGGAUGACGGCCUUCGGGUUGUAAACCGCUUUCGCCUGUGACGAAGCGUGAGUGACGGUAAUGGGUAAAGAAGCACCGGCUAACUACGUG
rnacentral:rRNA from 1 species